rnacentral:rRNA from 1 species
GAUGAACGCUAGCGGCAGGCUUAACACAUGCAAGUCGAGGGGUAUGUGGCUUCGGCCACAGAGACCGGCGCACGGGUGCGUAACGCGUAUGCAACCUACCUUGAACAGGGGGAUAGCCCAGAGAAAUUUGGAUUAAUACCCCAUGGUAUAUUUGGAUGGCAUCAUUCGAUUAUUAAAGAUUUAUCGGUUCAAGAUGGGCAUGCGUCCCAUUAGCUAGUUGGUAAGGUAACGGCUUACCAAGGCAACGAUGGGUAGGGGUCCUGAGAGGGAGAUCCCCCACACUGGUACUGAGACACGGACCAGACUCCUACGGGAGGCAGCAGUGAGGAAUAUUGGUCAAUGGGCGCAAGCCUGAACCAGCCAUGCCGCGUGCAGGAUGACGGUCCUAUGGAUUGUAAACUGCUUUUGUACGGGAAGAAACAGAGGUUCGUGAACCUCCUUGACGGUACCGUAAGAAUAAGGAUCGGCUAACUCCGUGCCAGCAGCCGCGGUAAUACGGAGGGUCCAAGCGUUAUCCGGAAUCAUUGGGUUUAAAGGGUCCGUAGGCGGCCUUGUAAGUCAGUGGUGAAAUCUCCCGGCUCAACCGGGAAAUGGCCCAUUGAUACUGCAGGGCUUGAAUUACUGGGAAGUAACUAGAAUAUGUAGUGUAGCGGUGAAAUGCUUAGAUAUUACAUGGAAUACCAAUUGCGAAGGCAGGUUACUACCAGUUUAUUGACGCUGAUGGACGAAAGCGUGGGUAGCGAACAGGAUUAGAUACCCUGGUAGUCCACGCCGUAAACGAUGGAUACUAGCUGUUGGGGGCAACUUCAGUGGCUAAGCGAAAGUGAUAAGUAUCCCACCUGGGGAGUACGAACGCAAGUUUGAAACUCAAAGGAAUUGACGGGGGCCCGCACAAGCGGUGGAGCAUGUGGUUUAAUUCGAUGAUACGCGAGGAACCUUACCAAGGCUUAAAUGUAGUCUGACAGGCGUGGAAACAUGCUUUUCUUCGGACAGAUUACAAGGUGCUGCAUGGUUGUCGUCAGCUCGUGCCGUGAGGUGUCAGGUUAAGUCCUAUAACGAGCGCAACCCCUGUUGUUAGUUGCCAGCGAGUCAUGUCGGGAACUCUAACAAGACUGCCAGUGCAAACUGUGAGGAAGGUGGGGAUGACGUCAAAUCAUCACGGCCCUUACGCCUUGGGCUACACACGUGCUACAAUGGCCGGUACAGAGAGCAGCCACCUCGUGAGGGGGAGCGAAUCUACAAAACCGGUCACAGUUCGGAUCGGAGUCUGCAACUCGACUCCGUGAAGCUGGAAUCGCUAGUAAUCGGAUAUCAGCCAUGAUCCGGUGAAUACGUUCCCGGGCCUUGUACACACC